GAUGAACGCUGGCGGCGUGCCUAAUACAUGCAAGUCGAGCGAACGGACGAGAAGCUUGCUUCUCUGAUGUUAGCGGCGGACGGGUGAGUAACACGUGGAUAACCUACCUAUAAGACUGGGAUAACUUCGGGAAACCGGAGCUAAUACCGGAUAAUAUUUUGAACCGCAUGGUUCAAAAGUAAAAGACGGUCUUGCUGUCACUUAUAGAUGGAUCCGCGCUGCAUUAGCUAGUUGGUAAGGUAACGGCUUACCAAGGCAACGAUGCAUAGCCGACCUGAGAGGGUGAUCGGCCACACUGGAACUGAGACACGGUCCAGACUCCGACGGGAGGCAGCAGUAGGGAAUCUUCCGCAAUGGGCGAAAGCCUGACGGAGCAACGCCGCGUGAGUGAUGAAGGUCUUCGGAUCGUAAAACUCUGUUAUUAGGGAAGAACAUAUGUGUAAGUAACUGUGCACAUCUUGACGGUACCUAAUCAGAAAGCCACGGCUAACUACGUG
rnacentral:rRNA from 1 species